GCAAGGCGCAGUGGUGCACACCUGUAAUCCCAGAAGCUUGGGAGGCUGAGGCAGGAGGAUCACAAGUUCAAGGCUAGCUUCAGCAAUGUAGAGAGGCCCUAAGCAGCUUAGUGAGACCCUGUCUCAA
rnacentral:sRNA from 1 species